rnacentral:lncRNA from 1 species
GUGCAGAGCUAGUCUUUUGGAGCUUUGGUUUCUUCUAUUCAGAAUUUUGUGGUUCUGCGCUAUCAUGGGCGCCUUGUAUGUACUUGUUUAGUUUGUGAAGUGCUUCUUAUCUAUUAGCUGGUAGUUGUGCAGCCAGUGCUUUAGACAUGCGUCUUUUUGUUUUGUGGUGACUUUGUUCUUCCGAUGAUUUUUCUUUUUCUGACCAAUUUUUUUGGUUUUUUGUGCUGGUGCUUAAUCGUGAUCUUUUGUGUUUUGGGGAUUGCUUUAUCUCAUAUUUUAUCUUUUUACAUUUAUCUGACAUUUUCUUGUUCUAGCCAAGACAUUCUAUGCUAAGAUGAGAUA